rnacentral:rRNA from 1 species
GACGAACGCUGGCGGCGUGCUUAACACAUGCAAGUCGAACGGAAAGGCCCUGCUUUUGUGGGGUGCCCGAGUGGCGCACGGGUGAGUAACACGUGAGUAACCUGCCCUUGACUUUGGGAUAACCUCAGGAAACUGGGGCUAAUACCGGAUAGGAGCUCCUGCUGCAUGGUGGGGGUUGGAACGUUUCGGCGGGUGGGGAUGGACUCGCGGCUUAUCAGCUUGUUGGUGGGGUAGUGGCUUACCAAGGCUUUGACGGGUAGCCGGCCUGGGAGGGUGACCGGCGACAUGGGGACUGAGGGACGGCCCAGACUCCUACGGGGGGCAGCAGUGGGGAAUAUUGCACAAUGGGCGGAAGCCUGAGGCAGCAGCGCCGCGUGCGGGAUGACGGCCUUCGGGUUGUAAACCGCUUUCGCCUGUGACGAAGCGUGAGUGACGGUAAUGGGUAAAGAAGCACCGGCUAACUACGUG